CGUAGGAAGGGCCCCACGUGGCCUCAUUUCCCCCAAGCAACUCCACCACCAUUUCCUUCUUUCUUCUUCUUUCUUUUUCUUUCUUUUCUUUUUUUGUGUUGUUUGGGCAUAAAACGAAGAAGAAAAACAGAGCGAGCUCGGGAUAGAGCAAAGGGAAUCGGAAGAAGAUAGAGUAGAACAUAGGAAGAACGUGAACUCGAUUGAGAGCUCGGGUUGGGGUUUAUGGAAGAGACAGGAUGAGCAAAGCAAGGGGACUAGGAGAACGACCUAAGAGGGAGUUGAGCAUGAAAUUGAAUUUAUCAUCCAUGGUGUUCGGGGAUUAUGGAGACUAAGCUUUGCAUCUCGAAGGAUCGACCCGAUGAAAUAUUUUUGAGUAUUCACUCGUUAGAUAUGAAGUGCCGGGGUAGUAGUUGAUAGAGGUAUCACUUGUGAUGAUAAAUGAGUUGCUGAACUGGAGCAAGGCAUUUUACUCAAUUGAUGUGGCUCGAAUGACGUUGGGCAAAUAAUGGGUGACAUGAUGGGAGCAGCAACGGCCAUGGAGUAUAACAACAAAGAAUAGAAGAUGAGGAUGAUGAUUGUAUUACUAUUUUAAUACAAGAAACUCGUCUAUCUGCUUGAUUGAUUAGUUAAUAAAUUUUGUUAGUAAUCAUUAUAUAACCGAUAUAGUCAUCUUUUGUCCCUUUUUUUUUUCUUUUCCCAAAAAAUUACUUCCUCUGCAGUGUCACUUUUAAACGGUCCCACUGCUAUAGUGUUCAUGGAACAUCACUGUAACCAACAUCAAUAAUACAUAUACAAUCAA